rnacentral:rRNA from 1 species
GACGAACGCUGGCGGCGUGCCUAAUACAUGCAAGUCGAGCGGAAUGAUGAAGAAGCUUGCUUCUUCUGAUUUUAGCGGCGGACGGGUGAGUAACACGUGGGCAACCUACCUUGUAGAUUGGGAUAACUCCGGGAAACCGGGGCUAAUACCGAAUAAUCCAUUUUGCUUCAUGGCGAGAUGUUGAAAGACGGUUUCGGCUGUCACUACAAGAUGGGCCCGCGGCGCAUUAGCUAGUUGGUAGGGUAGUGGCCUACCAAGGCGACGAUGCGUAGCCGACCUGAGAGGGUGAUCGGCCACACUGGGACUGAGACACGGCCCAGACUCCUACGGGAGGCAGCAGUAGGGAAUCUUCCACAAUGGACGAAAGUCUGAUGGAGCAACGCCGCGUGAGUGAAGAAGGUUUUCGGAUCGUAAAACUCUGUUGUAAGGGAAGAACACGUACGAGAGUAACUGCUCGUACCUUGACGGUACCUUAUUAGAAAGCCACGGCUAACUACGUG